GACAGAGGGUGCAAACGUUGUUCGGAAUUACUGGGCGUAAAGCGCACGUAGUCGGCUUUGCAAGUCGGUUGUGAAAUCCCCGGGCUCAACCUGGGAACUGCAUCCGAGACUGCAUUGCUAGAGUAUGGGAGAGGAAAGCGGAAUUUCUGGUAUAGCAGUGAAAUGCGUAGAUAUCAGAAGGAACAUCAGUGGCGAAGGCGGCUUUCUGGACCAAUACUGACGAUCAGGUGCGAAAGCGUGGGGAGCAAACAGG
rnacentral:rRNA from 1 species